GGAGCUCAAAGAUUUGCAGAAGAACCCUCCUAUGACCGGUGAAAAAGUUCAAGAAGUGAAGAGGCAAUAGCUCGGCAGCAAGAUAGUGAUGCUGGAAAGCUAAUCGGAGGAUAUUCACUGUCCGAGAAAAAAAGAGAAGAAUGGUGGUAGAGAUCUUGCCGUUGAAGGUGCUAUCGACUGUGAGGCAGAGUGAUUAAAAGAAAAUCACAAGCAAAAGAAGAAGAAAUAGUCUUGCAGCAAAGGAGAAAUAAGUUAUUAUUGCACUAAUUAUUCAAUGAUAUCCAUAAUUCAUGUGAUUUCUUUUAGACAAAUUUUCAAAGUUUACACAGUAUAUCCAUUACUUUUUUUAAAUUUUGUUUAUAUAUUACUUAUUUGAUUGGUAAGGAAAAAGUUCCAUAUUUUUUAGAAUAACAUAAAAGGGAAGGGUUGGGUUGAAAGUUACCAAAUAUUAACAUAGAACUUUUCUGUAUCCUUUGAGCUAGAUUCUAAAUGCAGAUGAAGUGAAAAUCCUAUUUUGUAGAGGUUUUGGGUAUAGAAUGCCAUGUAUUGAAAAAGUUUGUUAGUCAUAUUAGUCUUUUUUUUGUAUUAUUUUCUGUAUUUUUUUGUGGUUACUUAUUUGAUGUUAAGUGUUUUGCAUCUAAAUUUGUUCUUUUUGAAAUCACUAAACAUAAAUAUUUUUAUGCUUUUUUUUACUGCCAUAAAGAAUAUGAAGAUUUAAACCUUGUAGAUCUUCAAUUGAGUAGUAUUGUCAGAAAAAUAUUGUAACAUACUGUGAGGCAUUAUUUUUUUUUUGUUAAUUUGCAUUUCUAAUUCUUUUUUAAAAUAAAAUAUGUAGCUUAUUAAAACAGAAACUUAGU